GCUCUGUGGUUUAACCCACGUCCCUAGUUGGUAGAGUACGAGACUCUUAAACUCAGGGUGGUGGGUUCGAGUCCCAAGUUGAGCA